GAGCUCCGCGCCGAGGAGCGCCCUGGGCCGGGGCUGCGGGGCAGGCCGAGCGGGGCGCGCAGCUGGCAGAGCGGGGCGCGGGCGGGGCUCGGGGCCGCCGUGCGGUCCCGGUUGUAAGCCCCGGGGCGCCCCGCGCCCACGACGCCUGCCACUUUUCCUGCGACUCGGGUCCCCAGGUGCCUCCAGUAAAUUGCUACUCCCUGGUCUCCGGGCUUGGCUUUUGGCGCACCCUCUCCGGGGUCGCCGCGAGCCCCCUUAAUAGCCUCGGGCCCUGAAGAACGGACCAGCCCUCGCGGACUCCCAGUGAGGACGAGUGCGGGCGGCGGGAAGGGACGCGGGAGACGGGCACCUUCUGCAACCAUCUCCCCGCUGCGCCGCGUCGGCGGGGACGCCAAGCCUUUGGCCUCUGCUGCCCCACCUGUGUUCUCAGGCCCCAAGAAACCUGCAGGCAUCUCCAUGGAUUCGUGAUCGGCAGGGCAGGUCUCCUGGCAGCCCUGGACAGAGGUGAGUGACCUCAGCCGGGCAGGGAGUGGCUCUGCUCUCACCUCUCCUGGCUCCAUCCUUCUUCUCCUUAAC
rnacentral:lncRNA from 1 species